rnacentral:rRNA from 1 species
UUCAUGGAGAGUUUGAUCCUGGCUCAGGACGAACGCUGGCGGCGUGCCUAAUACAUGCAAGUCGAGCGGACCGACGGGAGCUUGCUCCCUUAGGUCAGCGGCGGACGGGUGAGUAACACGUGGGUAACCUGCCUGUAAGACUGGGAUAACUCCGGGAAACCGGGGCUAAUACCGGAUGCGC